rnacentral:rRNA from 1 species
UACAGAGGGUGCGAGCGUUAAUCGGAAUUACUGGGCGUAAAGGGCGCGUAGGUGGUUGGAUAAGUUGUUUGUGAAAUCCCUGGGCUUAACCUAGGAACUGCAAGUAGGACUGUCCAACUAGAGUACGAUAGAGGGAAGUGGAAUUUCCGGUGUAGCGGUGAAAUGCGUAGAUAUCGGAAGGAACACCAGUGGCGAAGGCGGCUUCCUGGAUUGAUACUGACACUGAGGCGCGAAAGCGUGGGGAGCAAACAGG